UACGUAGGGGGCGAGCGUUGUCCGGAAUCAUUGGGCGUAAAGCGCGUGUAGGCGGCCCGGUAAGUCCGCUGUGAAAGUCCAGGGCUCAACCCUGGGAUGCCGGUGGAUACUGUCGGGCUCGAGUCCGGAAGAGGCGAGUGGAAUUCCUGGUGUAGCGGUGAAAUGCGCAGAUAUCAGGAGGAACACCCGUGGCGAAAGCGGCUCUCUGGGACGGUACUGACGCUGAGACGCGAAAGCGUGGGGAGCAAACAGG
rnacentral:rRNA from 1 species